GAUGAAGAACGUAGCGAAAUGCGAUAAGUAAUGUGAAUUGCAGAAUUCAGUGAAUCAUCGAAUCUUUGAACGCACAUUGCGCCCGCCAGUAUUCUGGCGGGCAUGCCUGUCCGAGCGUCAUUUCAACCCUCGAACCCCUCCGGGGGGUCGGCGUUGGGGAUCGGCCCUUUCACCGGGUGCCGUCCCCCAAAUACAGUGGCGGUCUCGCCGCAGCCUCUCAUGCGCAGUAGUUUGCACACUCGCACCGGGAGCGCGGCGCGUCCACGUCCGUAAAACACCCCAAACUUCUGAAAUGUUGACCUCGGAUCAGGUAGGAAUACCCGCUGAACUUAAGCAUAUCAUAAGCGGAGGA
rnacentral:misc_RNA from 1 species